rnacentral:rRNA from 1 species
GACGAACGCUGGCGGCGUGCCUAAUACAUGCAAGUAGAACGCUGAAGGAGGAGCUUGCUUCUCUGGAUGAGUUGCGAACGGGUGAGUAACGCGUAGGUAACCUGCCUGGUAGCGGGGGAUAACUAUUGGAAACGAUAGCUAAUACCGCAUAAGAGUAGAUGUUGCAUGACAUUUGCUUAAAAGGUGCAAUUGCAUCACUACCAGAUGGACCUGCGUUGUAUUAGCUAGUUGGUGGGGUAACGGCUCACCAAGGCGACGAUACAUAGCCGACCUGAGAGGGUGAUCGGCCACACUGGGACUGAGACACGGCCCAGACUCCUACGGGAGGCAGCAGUAGGGAAUCUUCGGCAAUGGACGGAAGUCUGACCGAGCAACGCCGCGUGAGUGAAGAAGGUUUUCGGAUCGUAAAGCUCUGUUGUAAGAGAAGAACGAGUGUGAGAGUGGAAAGUUCACACUGUGACGGUAUCUUACCAGAAAGGGACGGCGAACUACGU